rnacentral:rRNA from 1 species
GACGAACGCUGGCGGCGUGCUUAACACAUGCAAGUCGAGCGGAAAGGCCCUUCGGGGUUCUCGAGCGGCGAACGGGUGAGUAACACGUGAGUAACCUGCCCUAGACUUUGGGAUAACCCUCGGAAACGGGGACUAAUACCAGAUACUCCUUCUAAAUCGCAUGGCUUGGUUGGGAAAGUUUUUCGGUCUGGGAUGGACUCGCGGCCUAUCAGCUUGUUGGUGGGGUAAUGGCCUACCAAGGCGAGGACGGGUAGCCGGCCUGAGAGGGUGACCGGCCACACUGGGACUGAGACACGGCCCAGACUCCUACGGGAGGCAGCAGUGGGGAAUAUUGCACAAUGGGCCGAAGCCUGAUGCAGCGACGCCGCGUGAGGGAUGACGGCCUUCGGGUUGUAAACCUCUUUCGGCAGGGACGAAGCGUAAGUGACGGUACCUGCAGAAGAAGCGCCGGCCAACUACGUG